rnacentral:rRNA from 1 species
AUUGAACGCUGGCGGAAUGCUUUACACAUGCAAGUCGAACGGCAGCACGGACUUCGGUCUGGUGGCGAGUGGCGAACGGGUGAGUAACAUAUCGGAACGUAUCCAAUAAUGGGGGAUAACUAAUCGAAAGGUUGGCUAAUACCGCAUACGCCCUACGAGGGAAAGCAGGGGAUCUUCGGACCUUGGUUUAAGGGAGCGGCUGAUAUCUGAUUAGCUAGUUGGGGAGGUAAAGGCUCACCAAGGCGACGAUCAGUAGCUGGUCUGAUAGGACGACCAGCCACACUGGAACUGAGACACGGUCCAGACUCCUACGGGAGGCAGCAGUGGGGAAUUUUGGACAAUGGGCGCAAGCCUGAUCCAGCCAUUCCGCGUGAGUGAAGAAGGCCUUCGGGUUGUAAAGCUCUUUCGCAAGGGAAGAAAACUUACUUUCUAAUAAAGAGUGAGGUUGACGGUACCUUGAUAAGAAGCACCGGCUAACUACGUGCCAGCCGCCGCCGUAA